rnacentral:rRNA from 1 species
UACGUAGGGUGCGAGCGUUAAUCGGAAUUACUGGGCGUAAAGCGUGCGCAGGCGGUUGGCCGUGUCCGAUGUGAAAGCCCCGGGCUUAACCUGGGAAUGGCAUUGGAAACUGGCUGGCUGGAGUGUGGCAGAGGGGGGUGGAAUUCCACGUGUAGCAGUGAAAUGCGUAGAGAUGCGGAGGAACACCGAUGGCGAAGGCAGCCCCCUGGGCUGACACUGACGCUCAGGCACGAAAGCGUGGGGAGCAAACAGG